UUCAUGUGUUCCAGAUGGGAAAGUAAAAUACGAGGAGAGUUAAACCCUAUCUAAUUUCUUUUCCCGUGCCUCCAUUUCUAAACCCCCAAUUCAAUCUUCUAGCAUUUGGUGAAGUAGCGAGCUGGUUGCCGUUUGAAUUGGAUGUGGUUGCUCCGGAUAUACGGUAUUCUAAACUUGCAAACUUAAACCCGUAAUAUGGAUUAUGUAAGCUCUACUGCCACAACUCCAGUUUUGUUUAUCAGUCAGGGUGCAAAUACGCGAUGUUAAUUAAUUAAUUAUGUACCUGGUUGUUUGGUGCAUACUACUGGAAACUCUAGAUUUAUACCUCCAUUAAUAUAUAAUUGCAUGGGUAGUUCAAGAGAUAUCUCCAUUGGAUCUGCAGGUAUUAUUUCUCUUCUAUUAGGGAAUCUAAUUCACAACGAGAUUGAUCCUACUAAAAAAAUCUUGUAGAAUAUCGAAGACUUGCUUUCACUCCAGCAGUUUUUGCAGAGAUCACCCAAAUGACCCUUGGAUUUUCCAGAGUAUUCACCCACAAUGGUAGCUUCAUUAAGAAUUUCAAUCUACUAAACUUCUCGCCAGAAUUCUUGAUGGCCCAAGACUCUUAUGGAGUUAUGGUAUUAUUUUUGUUCAUCAUCUUUCACAAAAAAGGACAAAAUCAAGCUUUCAGAAAUGGGCUGCUGAGAUUGCUGCAAAUGCGACUUUUUCGGCACCUCCGGUAAUCUUGUUGAUGUUGCUAGGCAAUGGGUUGAGAAGCAAAGUCUGAUAUCAUCUAGUGAGGACCUUCCCCACUGCAAGAUUUCCUGGAAAUUCAUCCCUUAUUGCUGUAAGAAGUCGAACUUUUUGGUUAAUAUUGACUCGUACUAAAUUUUCCUUUUUAAUGUAAUAAGCAGUUUCUGCUUUCAUUGAAAACAAAGGGGGAGGGGGUUCGGGAAUAAAGGAGAUGCUUAUUUUCACGAAAGCAUAUAUAAUUCAUAUCAAUUAAAAAGCUAUACCUGGGAAACAAGGGAGAUGCUUGCAUCACCAAAGAGUAUAAAAUGAGAGUAUAUAAUGACCGUAUGCUUAUCUAGUGAAAGCUAGUAAUGCGUACUCUCCCAAUAAAAUGAAACGCACUUGAAGAACUUGGUUGAACAACUCGACACCACACCUUUUAGUGACACGUCUUGAUUACAAUGAGCUUAUAUAUGAGGAACUUGGUUAAACAACUGGCAUCACACCUUUUAUUAAUAUGCGGGAACAGAACUAUGCUAAUGUUUUAUUAUCCUGUUAGAAAAUUAUUGUGAUGGAAAUUGAAUAAAAGUAUUAAAAUUAUACUGUGCAGUACUUCAGAAAACAAUAGGAAAUGUGGUAGAAAAAACUUAUGCCAGUACCAAUCCUGUUCACAGGACCUCCUAACAUAAGUUCAGGGACAUCCUCGAGAUGCUGCCUCCGAAGAACAAUAUUUUUAUGGAAUGGGAAUUACUGCACGAAUGAUUUUUUACUCUCUAUUUUUUCUUCUUAAUUUAUGGGUGUGUUGUUGCUGUUGUUCUUCUCGUGCAUUGCUGCUGUGGAGCUGCUGCUGUAAGGCUCGUGCAAUGUUGAUGUUUCUAGGUGGUUGCUCGUGUGCUAGGUAGCUGUUGUUCUGCCCUUUGCUAUGUUCCGUGCAAGGCCUGCCCAUGGGGCUGUGUUCUUGUUCCUGUGCUACGACAACAUCAGGCGGCACAGUGACAGUAUUGUGAUCUCAUUUGGGCAUGAUUGCUGAAACUGCUGAUACAUCAACCCCAGAAGGUUUAAAGUAUGUUUUAACUGAAUCUAUGUUGGCUUUGCUUCGGCACCCCGAUUAUUGCAUAUCAGCCUAUUAUCUGUUUUCAAAACUCUAGGGAAUGCCCUUUACCAAAGAGGAGUUGGAUUAAGUUCGAGACAAGUGGGCUACUUACUUCAACGAUUUUGAACUACCCUCAGUAGGCUUGUAGUUACUCUUACAUUACUUAGAUAUUUAUUGAUUUAAUUAAUUACAUUUGAAUUAAUUCAGUAAUAUUAUUGAAAAUUUGAAAUUUAUAUCAUUUUUGAGGAAUGUUAAGCUGAUGUUUGGUGAAACAGUAUUAUAAUGCAGAAUUUAAUAUUGCAAAAUCAGAAAUUAUAUUGCAGAA